rnacentral:rRNA from 1 species
AACGAACGCUGGCGGCAUGCCUAACACAUGCAAGUCGAACGAGACCUGCGGGUCUAGUGGCGCACGGGUGCGUAACGCGUGGGAACCUGCCCUUAGGUUCGGAAUAACUCCCCGUAAGGGGUGCUAAUACCGGAUAAUGUCUUCGGACCAAAGACUUAUCGCCUUUGGAUGGGUUCGAGUUGGAUUAGCUAGUUGGUAGGGUAAAAGCCUACCAAGGCGACGGUCCCUAGCUGGUCUGAGAGGAUGCUCAGCCACACUGGGGCUGAGACACGGCCCAGACUGCUACGCGAAGCAGCGGUGGGGUAUAUUGGCCACUGGAGCAGAGCCUGAUCCAGCAAUGCCGCGUGAGUGAUGAAGGCCGUCGGGUUGUAAAGCUCUUUUACACGGGAUGAUAAUGACAGUACCGGGAGAAUAAGCUCCGGCUAACUCCGUG